GAUGCUAUAACCAGAGAGUGAAGUGUACUUGGAGCCAAAAAAUAUAAUCUGUCCAGACAACAUCAAAAAGGAUGAAGUGUAAGACUGUGCUUGUGUUGGUUACCAUUUCAAUUGUGGUCUUAGGAAUGCAGGAAAGCGAUGCUGCAGUACCUUGGAGCAAUUCGAAUGGAAGAAGCAUUAAGAAAUUAAAGAGCACCACUCACGACAAGGGGCAAAGCUACCGUCGAACUCUGUGUGAGGCUGCACGCUAUCUGGAUUGCGAUUAUCAAGCACAAGCAGACGACUGACGUAGGACACUUGUGAAGUUGACAAGUCACUACAGUCAAGAUACUUUACAAAUUUAUCGGGAAUAAAGCUAUGUAAACGUAUGAGUUAACUGAUCAGAGUUAUAAUAAACCAUUGGGAAACCAUGUGAAUUUUGUCGA